rnacentral:misc_RNA from 1 species
AUGCCUUCUCUCUGCUGGAUGGAAGCUAGUUCCAAUUUUUCUUUUUUUAAUUCUGCCUUCAAUGAAGUUGCAGCAACCUUCAAGCAAUUUACAUCAUCUGUUGCUUUCUCGAUGUUGAGUUUCACUUCUUCAAGUUCCCGUGUAGCCAAGGCAACCGCUGCUUGUAUGUUGGCAUGAGUUCUUUUCUCUGGUUCUGACAGUUCGUUGAAAUUGCCUCCUUCAACCGUCUCUUGUUUCAACUUUGAUUCCAUGUAAGAAGCAAACUCAGCUUUGAGAUCCAGUAACAAAGCUGAAGCAGUGUCUAAUUUUGCUUUGAGAUCCUUUGAAGACCGUAUUUGCUGGUUUAGCUUCUCAAGCUCAUCUUCUGCCUGCUUUAGUUCUUUCUCCCAAUUUAGAGUAUCUUGCUCUCUUGCCAUGGCAGCUCCAAUUCUGUGUUCCUCCGCCUCCAAAUGUGCAGUUUGUGCAGCUUCUAAAGAUUCCUUUGUAGUGAUGAGCUCAAUAGUCAAAUACUCAACUUCUUUCUCAACUUUCUUUGAGGCAGAAACCGCUUCCUCUGCAUUUUGCAUGGCAUCAUAUCUUUCUGACACCAAUAAAUCAUACUGUUUAUGCAGAUUUUUCAGCUCAUAAUCCACAUUUUUUAGCUCUGAAACUGCUGUUUCAUGCCUUGCUUUAGCAACUUCAAGCUGCGCCUUGGCUGCAAUACUAGCCUCAUCAGCAAUUCCCUGCUCCAUCUCUUCUACCCUGAGCUUGGCAAGUUCUGAGUCCUGUUUCGCUUGUUGCUCUUCAGUUUGUGCUCUCUCCAGGUUUAGCUUCAACUCUUCAAUCAGUCUUUUAGUGCUAUCUAGUUCCUUCACCACCAUCAUUUUUGCUUCUUCUGCAGCCUGUGACUGUUUCUUGUACACUGGGAUCUCUUCCUGCACAUUCGCUAAUUCUUGAUCGACAACUUUCCUUCUCUCCACGGUCUGUACUCGAUGAGCCUUCCAGUCAACAAUGCCUCCAAACUUGGACACUGCCUGCUUCACAG